ACACGACUACAUUAGAUACCCGGGUAGUCCUAGCCGUAAACGAUACUCGCUAGGCGUCGGCCACGGUGCGACCGUUGUCGGUGCCGUAGGGAAGCCGUGAAGCGAGCCACCUGGGAAGUACGGCCGCAAGGCUGAAACUUAAAGGAAUUGGCGGGGGAGCACAACAACGGGUGGAGCUUGCGGUUUAAUUGGAUUCAACGCCGGAAAUCUUACCGGGACCGACAGCAACAUGAAGGCCAAGCUGAAGACUUUGCCGGAUUAGCUG
rnacentral:rRNA from 1 species